UGGAUAGGUUUUGUUAGCAUGCAGCUCUUGGCUAACCUGACAAGAUUGACUGGCGUGAAUUAUUGGCCUGGUGAUAUGAGGUUCUUGAAUUUGAUUAUUAUUUUCGGCGUCGGAAUGACGCUUGGAGUGUUUCUUGUUGAAUUUCAAGCCCUUAAAAGCGUGCAAGGCAGGUUGAUAAGGCAAUUGGGAUUGUUCAAGGGAAGAUGGUUCGUUGCAGGGAUAAAAUGGUUUGAUUGAUUGUUUGUCUAUAGAUAAUUAUGAGGUGCUUUAUAAUGAAAAGAAUGACGCCGGACCAAAUCAAUUAUUAAAAAAUCGGGGAAGUGGCGUGGAUUUUAGAAAAAUGGUAGAGAUAUCAUCAUCCAAGGAUGUUUUUAUCAUCUAACUCAAUCCACUCAUAGGAAGAUUCAAGAAUUGGGGUUAGAAUUAUCAUAUCGGAAUGAUCCAACGUUAUGUUUAUUUGCAGCUAUGAUCGAUGGAUUAGCAUUCUUACUUAUACACGAUGUCAAACGAGACAUAUGGGAGAAACUCUCAAAGACAAGUAGAGACAUUGUUCCCACCUGAAACAUGGAAUGUGAUCAACGUUACGAUUGCUGGGGGAAAUCGAACAAACAAUGUAUGUGAAGGAUGGAAUAAUCGAUUUCAGAAUAUUAUAGGCCACAAAAAACCUAAGAUAUGGGAACUAAUCGAAAAAAUGAGGAUGGAAAUAGCCGUCGACAUGGGUAAAAUCGACCAAUGCAGUAUUGGGACUCCCAAAAAAAUCGUCGUUAUGCAA